UACGGAGGGUGCAAGCGUUGCUCGGAAUCACUGGGCGUAAAGCGACCGCAGGCGGCCUGACAAGUCGGAUGUGAAAGCCCUGGGCUCAACUCAGGAAUUGCAUUCGAAACUGGCAGGCUCGAGUACGGGGAGAGGGGGGUGGAAUUCCUGGUGUAGGGGUGAAAUUCGUUGAUAUCAGGAGGAACACCGGCGGCGAAGGCGGCCCCCUGGCCCGCAACUGACGCUCAUGGUCGAAAGCGUGGGGAGCAAACAGG
rnacentral:rRNA from 1 species